AGGUCCCAAGCCAUAGAUCAAACCGUCUUUGCUGGAAGCAAGAUGCUGAUUGCAAAGAAACCGACGGAAGGGCUGGCGGCGCCACCGCGGCCUCCUCUCUUGCAAGUUCAAGUACUCGUAUUCCCUGACGGGUUCCCCAACAGGUACCGGACAGGUAGGUUUAUUCAAAUUGAUUUUAGUACCACCGAUGAGGUAUAAUUUGGAGUUGAGGACCACAAGGCUGGCUAAAAAACGCUGGUAACCUAACUCGGGAAAAUCAAGUUGACGGAAGACUAUCUCAUCAUCAUCUUCUUGCUGUUGUUCCUGGCGUUUAUCCUCGAUUACAAACCAUAUCGACGAUUUGCCCUCGCGAACCCUAAUGUGUAAGGGUCUGUCCCUCGUUGUGGUUAUCAUUCUCCGACUGCAAUGGUAUCAGAUUAUCAACCCUAGAUUUUUCUCUUUCUGCUGCUAUUAUGUACAAGCAUACCAGGCUCCCUCGAUUUCUCUCCUUGUUUUCCUAUGGAUUAGCUAUAAACCUUUUAUUAGUUUUCCCUUUUCCUUCCACUCGGCCUAAAAUGUUGCUACAUUUAAUUUGAUCCUCUACUAUCAGGCCCCAAAAUCUUUAGCCUUCCUUUCUCAGUGCAAGUUACGCACAAUUAUGCUCACAUCUGCUGUAUUAAAGUAAAUGUAAAUUAGAUAACAAAAUCAAAUAAAACGGCAAACAAUAUAUAUUUCAGAUUCAAUGUUUUUUUUUUGAGAAGAUAUUUCAGAUUCAAUGUAAUGCAUGUAAAGGUUGGAGAAUCAGCUCCCAUCCGUAGCUUAACACAUUGAAUGCUUUUGUAGGUACUUACCCGUUGAGAUGAGGUAAACUAGAAAAUGUGAUAAAGAAUUGAGAACCAAUUUAUUGCCAAUUCCUCGCCAUAGUUUGCCAUUGACACUAACUAGGGUUCAUCAUGCUUCCCUAUGUUUGCAUCGGUAACUUUAACAAAUGUAUAUUCGGAUGGAGAAGCAUACUCUCCACAUGUGCUGCCCAGCAAUCAAAAGUCCAUAAUUAAUCACAAAUCACAAGUCCAGCCAUCAUUCAAAAGAAAAAUUGUAUUUGAUAGGACAUCAACAAAUUUACUCGUAAUAUCAAACACCCACACACCAGGCUUCUCCCUAAAGUCUUCAAUGCGGUGCCUUGACCCGUACGCUAUUAAGUACGAGUCUCCGGAUCGAAAUCACCAUUCCAGUUGCCCAAUCACCCCAGAAAUGUUUAUAGAGGCAGUCCCACUUUUUCUCUUUCAUAUCAUAACUAAACAAAUAGUGCUGGCAAUUAGGGGUGAUACCUCCGUGGGAAUAAGCAUAAAUCUUGUUGUUAGAAAUAGCAAGCGGUUGUGGGACGUGACCAUCAAUGAUUUUAGGCAGCGGUUCAGUAGCGACGACACCACCUCUGAGGCUAGAAGGAUUCAUUAUGUAAGAUUGAUGUCCAAAGCCAUAAAUCAAACGGAUGCAAAUUUGCUCCCCAACCAAACUUACCCACCCUCAUACCCACCCAUGUAGAUGAAUGUCAUGUGUCUUAUGUAGUUAACUAUGGUUAGAGUGAUUAAAGGAUAAGACACAUAGCAUUCAUCUACAUGGGUGGGUAUGAGGGUGGGUAAGUUUGGAUGGGGAGCAAAUUUGCAUCCUAAAUGAAACCAUCUUUGGAGGAAGCCAUAUGCUGAGUGUAAUUGUGAUAUUGACCAAAGGACUGGCGACGCCAACGCAACCUCCUUUCUUGCAAAUCCAAGAACUCGUAUUCCCUGGCCGGUUCCGGGUGAAAGAACUGAAUUUCCCCUUCCGGUACCUGACGGUAAUUAAUUUUAACACCACCGAGGAGGUAUUUGGAGUUGAUGAAGUCGACGGAAUUUAACUGCAUGGGCAGCGAUGGUAAUUUAACUGCGGAAGAUCAAGUCGACGGAAGAUUAUAUCAUCAACAGCAGCCUCAUCAGAUCCAAUUUUGGCCUUCUCAGAUUCUUCUUGCUGGUGUUGUUGCUGGCGUCCAUCCUCGAUUACAAACCAUAACGACGAAUCGCCCUCGCAAACCUGAACGUAAAAGGGCUUGUCCCUCGCAUUCUUAUCCCUUGUGAUUGCCACCGUUGUCUCUUUGAUUCCCAUUCUUUAACCUUUUUUUUUCCCGAUGAACCUGUUUGACCAAAAGCAAUAUUAACAUGUAAAUUGCAAAUUUCCAAAACCUACAUCUUCAAAGUCUUCAUCGACACAAAAGAGAAUAGUGCGCACACAAGUAACGAAAUAGCCAAUUAGCCGAAUACAAAAUCGAAAAACAGAGACUGAUGCAUGAGAUUAAAGCCAAAUCAAAUUCACAACAACACUAUCAGAGCAAUCUAGAAGAUCAACAGCAAACAUCUGAAGCUAAUCAAUAUGAAAUUGUGAGAAAAUAACAAAAGGGAAAGAGAAAUCGGAACUGGAGGAAGCGCUAAACCUUAGAGACAGAGGAGAACCUAUCACAUGCGAUGGAGGCGUAUUGAGGUGUAUAGAAACUUAUAGAUGAUAUUCCCUUAACUUAGCCUAAUGUUUUUAUUUUUUCGGCAAAUGCAUUUUACACAUGCACAUUGUCCUUUUCUUGCUAUGUGUGUCAAAUGUAGCACAUAUUAGUUCUUUUCACAAUGAGCACCCAGAUUGAUAAAAAGACAAGGAAGGCAAUAUAGUGGCUAAAGAUAACAGGAAAAGAAAAUAUCAAUACCUUUUGAGUUUUGACACCAUAAUUUAUUUGCAGUCGAACUAAAGUAUGGCUGAUAAUUCAAGCAUCUGACUGCUAAAUCCAAAUCAUCACCACAUUGGUCCAGUGCUUUCUCCAGAAGCAGGAUAUUGAUACAAUACAUAAUAAUUCAAUUUAUAGUGUUAACUAGAAAGGUAUGACACAGAUCGACAGGAACCAAAACUGAAGGAUGAAAAUCUGUGAAUAGAAAAGCAAAGAAGCACAUCUGCACAUAUACACAGAAAAAAUGACAUGUGAUUUUCUAAAUUAUCAUAGCGCUACCUCCUCCUCAAAAACUCAAAAUACGUGGCAAUCAGUCACAGAAGAAAGAAAAAGAAAUUUAUUCAACACAAUCACAGUCUCCCUUUCUCAAGCUGCAAAUCACUUCACGUAAACACAAGAUCGAUAAUCAAAAUACUAACGAUACAAAAUAGUUAUAAACUUAUUCACUGGUUUUGUCUGGAUCAAAGCCUCAAAACUACUAAAAAGAAACAUAAUAAUAAUAAUAUUGAUCAUCCUUUGAAGCGGCCGCUUUCUGGUGACUUUUCUUUAUUCUUCUCUUCCUUGUUCAGAUUCCCUGUUAAUGACAAUAAGCAGUCAGACUCCAAGUUUGCAAUGUCAGAGCCAGCUAGAUAUGCAACCUAAAAGCCUAUAGUUGCAGAAGCUAUGAGAUACUUAUCAAUCAAAGAGCAAUAGCUAAAGGUAAAAGAAACUUACAAUCCAACAGUGCAACCGAGUAUUUUGUUGUUGCCGCCAUUGAGAGUCUUGACUUUAUUUGAGAGUUGUCGAGCAACAAAGGGUUGAUCCGUGGAGGUAGGCGCCUGCAAUGUGAAUUUGUGGCAAUGAAGCGUAUAACUCUCAUUAUAACUCUCAUCAUCUGAUUCCUCCCAAAUCAGAGCAAACCUGUGCUUUCCAAUCUCGAACAAGCGUGGUAGGUAGUACACGUGAACGUAUCCCAAUUCCUCAUAGACCCAGUCUGGGAUAACCGGAAGUGCCUCAUCAAGGCCCUUAACUGGUUCAUCAAGCCAUUGACGCCGGUGAAUAUCAAAAACCCAUACACCAGGCCUGUCCUUCUUCCAUUCAAUGGGAUGUCUUGAGCCAUAUGCUAUUAAGUAGGAGUCUCCGGAAAGCACUACUCCAGUGGCCCAGUCACCCCAGAAAUUUUUAAAGAUGCACUCCCACGUUUUCUCUUCCAUAUCAUAACUAAACAAAUAAUGCUGGAGAUUAGGGUAGACACCUCCGCGGGAAUAGGCAUAAAUCUUGUUCUUAGAAAUAGCAAGCGGCUGUGGGGAAUGACCAUAUUCUCCAGGGAUUUUAGGCAGGUCAGUGUGGAUGACACCAAAGCGGAGAGCAGGAUCGAUAACGUGAGAUUGAGGUCCCAAGCCAUAGAUCAAACCGUCUUUGCAGGAAGCAAGGUGCUGAGUGUAAAGAAAUCGACGAAAGGGCUGGCGGCGCCACCGCAGCCUCCUCUCUUGCAAGUUCAAGUACUCGUAUUCCCUGACGGGUUCCCCAACAGGUACCGGACAGGUAGGUUUAUUCAAAUUGAUUUUAGUACCACCGAUCAGGUACAAUUUGGAGUUGAGGACCACAAGGCUGUCAAGAAAGCGCUGGUAACCUAACUGGGGAAGAUCAAGUCGACGGAAGAUUAUUUCAUCAUCUU
rnacentral:lncRNA from 1 species